UACGUAGGGUGCGAGCGUUGUCCGGAAUUAUUGGGCGUAAAGAGCUCGUAGGCGGCUUGUCGCGUCGUUCGUGAAAACCCGGGGCUCAACUCCGGGCUUGCGGGCGAUACGGGCAGGCUAGAGUUCGGUAGGGGAGACUGGAAUUCCUGGUGUAGCGGUGAAAUGCGCAGAUAUCAGGAGGAACACCGGUGGCGAAGGCGGGUCUCUGGGCCGAUACUGACGCUGAGGAGCGAAAGCGUGGGGAGCGAACAGG
rnacentral:rRNA from 1 species